rnacentral:tmRNA from 9 species
GGGGGCGAAAUAGGAUCGACAAGGGCGUAAAGAUCGACUUUUUGCUCGGCAUUGUACCACCGUUAUCGGGCUAAACUUAUAGUUGCAAACGACAACUAUGCUGAAGCACGUCUCGCUGCCUAACGGCGGUGCGGCACUUCAAAUCAAGUCCUUCCGGGUAGCACCGUAAGGCGGGGUCCGAAGGCACCUGGCAACAGAAGCCUUCACC